AUGCACACGAGGGUUUUGUGCGCCCUUGUGCACGGUCCACAGCAGGACAGUAGGACAGAGCCUGGCGGCCGACACUCACCCCUCAGCUUGCUCAGGGCGGGGCGGGGCCAGCCCUGCUCAGCUGGGGAGGACAGUGUGGAACUGUGGGUGAGUCCACAAGAGGCAGCCACGCCUCGCCGGCUGGAGGUGCACCCCAGCCGCACACCAGUGGAGCUGAGGUCUCCGCACGUGGCGGGUGCCAUGCUCAGACUGGACUUCGGCUGCAGGAGGCGAGCUCCCCACAGCUGCGCCCUCCGUCCAGAGCCCCCCACCAGCUCACAGGCCCUGCCUGAGGCCUUGGCCUCCGAAAGCCCCUUGCUGCAUCACUCGGCACCCACCAGUGUCCACCGUGCGUGGUCCCAGGAGAGGAGUCCCCUCGCUCACGGUCCUCGGUCAUCAGCGUCACCAUCCCCCUGGCAGGGGAGCAGGUACCACGGAGCUGAGCCUGCCACAUGUGGUGGGGAGCUGAUCUUUCUACAAAAACUGUGCCCACCACGGGACAGCCGGGGGCCGUGCCCACCACGGGAUAUCAGGAGGCCAUGCCCACCACGGGACAACCAGGGGCCGUGCCCACCACGGGACAGCCGGGGGCCGUGCCCACCACGGAUAUCAGGAGGCCAUGCCCACCACGGGACAACCAGGGGCCGUGCCCACCACGGGACAGCCAGGGGACGUGCCCACCACGGGACAGCCGGGGGCCAUGCCCACCACGGGAUAUCAGGAGGCCGUGCCCAUCACGGGACAGCUGGGGGCCGUGCCCACCACGGGACAGCCGGGGGCCGUGCCCACCACGGGAUAUCAGGAGGCCAUGCCCACCACGGGACAACCGGGGGCCGUGCCCACCACGGGACAGAUGGGGGCCGUGCCCACCACGGGACAGCCGGGGGCCGUGCCCACCACGGGAUAUCAGGAGGCCAUGCCCACCACGGGACAACCGGGGGCCGUGCCCACCACGGGACAGCCGGGGGCCGUGCCCACCACGGGACAGAUGGGGGCCGUGCCCACCACGGGACAGCCGGGGACCAUGCCCACCACGGGAUAUCAGGAGGCCGUGCCCACCACGGGACAGCUGGGGGCCGUGCCCACCACAGGAUACGACUGAGAACUGAGCGUGCUACAGGUGGCCCCAAUCCUUCCUGCCCUCUGAGACACACAGGCACUGAGGUGACCUCCCCAGGCAGGCCGGGCCUCCCACCGGACUCUCUCCUGCCCGCCCAGGCCCCUGCUCGGUGCGCCGAUGUGCAAAGGGGCCGACUCUGCUGCCUCCCAGCCCAAAGCUGGGGCCCUCCUGUCCGCUGCAGCCGGGAGCCUUGGCUGCUCCUGUCCCUGCCUCUCCACUUCCCCCCGCUGACCAGGCCGGCGCUGCCCCCAGGACUGCUGCUGUUCUGGGAGCACUGCCAUCCCGCACCCAGCGUUGCUUCCCUGGCCUCGUGGUGGAGACGGCCGGGCCCACGGCGCUCACGCGAGUCGGGCCCCGCAGUCAGCCAUGGGAACUGUCAAGCGAAGGCCUCAGCUGGGCGCUCUGCUGCCCACCCGGACUCCCAGGCCCAGAGGACAGGUUCGGGAAUGGGCCGGCUGAGGAGCUGUGGCCACAAGAACGCCAGGUACCAGGGCAGGUGUUGA
rnacentral:lncRNA from 1 species